rnacentral:ncRNA from 1 species
GAUUUUAGGUUUUUAUCAUAGAUAAAUUAAAAGGGAAAGAGGUGUAUAUUCCUCUACAGCCCCCGCUACUGUAAUGUGGACGAAACUCGAUUAUAUCACUGUAAUAUUUAGAUAUUAUGGGAAGAUGAGGAGUAGGAUGAAGCUAAGUCAGGAGACCUGCCUAGAAUUGAAA